CGAACCUCAGUGAUAUAGGAAGACCUGCUGAAUUUAAGCAUAUCAAUAAGCAGAGGAAAAGAAACUAAAUAGGAUUCUUCUAGUAGCGGCGAGUGAACGAAGAAGAGCUCAUUACUGAAUCAGAGCAAUCUGAGUUGUAGUAUGAUUGAAUUUUUGUUAAUCCUUGGGGGUUUAAUUUGGCUUGAAAGGCCGUUUCAUAGAAUCCAUAGAGGGUGAAAGUCCCGUGGAGGUCCCCUUGUUUGACUUAUAAAAUUCAUGUAAAGAGUAGUAUUGUUUGAUAGUACAAUGCGAAUCGGGAGAUAAAUUUCUUCUAAAGCUAAAUAUAAAGUGAGAGACCGAUAGCGAACAAGUACCGUGAGGGAAAGGUGAAAAGUUCUUUGAUAAAAGGGUGAAAUAGAACUUGAAAUUGUAAAAAGGUAAGCGUAAUUAGAUUAUCAUAACGCUAGGAUUAGGUGUGAUAAACUCGCAUGAUCCGCAGUGACCAAUUCAGUAAGGUGGCUUCAUAAAGAGGUCGCGAGGGACUCAAGAUUUGCCCAUAUUGCGUGGAGUGCGUCAUAGUUUGCUAUUUCGGUAGUUGUUCAAUGAUUGUACCCAUUGCAGUCGCAGAUCUGUUGUUACUGAUGUGAUAGCUAAGACCGACCCGUCUUGAAACACGGACUGAGGAGUCUGGGGUGUA
rnacentral:ncRNA from 1 species